GACGAACGCUGGCGGCGUGCUUAACACAUGCAAGUCGAACGGAAAGGCCCUGCUUUUGUGGGGUGCUCGAGUGGCGAACGGGUGAGUAACACGUGAGUAACCUGCCCUUGACUUUGGGAUAACUUCAGGAAACUGGGGCUAAUACCGGAUAGGAGCUCCUGCUGCAUGGUGGGGGUUGGAAAGUUUCGGCGGUUGGGGAUGGACUCGCGGCUUAUCAGCUUGUUGGUGGGGUAGUGGCUUACCAAGGCUUUGACGGGUAGCCGGCCUGAGAGGGUGACCGGCCACAUUGGGACUGAGAUACGGCCCAGACUCCUACGGGAGGCAGCAGGGGGGAAUAUGGCACAAUGGGCGGAAGCCUGAUGCAGCAACGCCGGGUGCGGGAUGACGGCCUUCGGGUGGUAAACCGCUUUCGCAUGUGACGAAGCGUGAGUGACGGUAAUGGGUAAAGAAGCACCGGCUAACUACGUG
rnacentral:rRNA from 1 species